GAUGAACGCUGGCGGCGUGCCUAAUACAUGCAAGUCGAGCGAACGGACGAGAAGCUUGCUUCUCUGAUGUUAGCGGCGGACGGGUGAGUAACACGUGGAUAACCUACCUAUAAGACUGGGAUAACUUCGGGAAACCGGAGCUAAUACCGGAUAAUAUUUUGAACCGCAUGGUUCAAAAGUGAAAGACGGUCUUGCUGUCACUUAUAGAUGGAUCCGCGCUGCAUUAGCUAGUUGGUAAGGUAACGGCUUACCAAGGCAACGAUGCAUAGCCGACCUGAGAGGGUGGUCGGCCACACUGGAACUGCGCCACGGUCCAGACUCCUACGGGAGGCAGCAGUAGGGAAUCUUCCGCAGUGGGCGAAAGCCUGACGGAGCAACGCCGUGUGAGUGAUGAAGGUCUUCGGAUCGUAAAACUCUGUUAUUAGGGAAGAACAUAUGUGUAAGUAACUGUGCACAUCUUGACGGUACCUAAUCAGAAAGCCACGGCUAACUACGUG
rnacentral:rRNA from 1 species